CGGUGGAGCAUGUGGUUUAAUUCGAAGCAACGCGAAGAACCUUACCAGGUCUUGACAUCCCGAUGCUAUUCUAGAGAUAGAAAGUUACUUCGGUACAUCGGUGACAGGUGGUGCAUGGUUGUUGUCAGCUCGUGUCGUGAGAUGUUGGGUUAAGUCCCGCAACGAGCGCAACCCCUAUUGUUAGUUGCCAUCAUUCAGUUGGGCACUCUAGCGAGACUGCCGGUAAUAAACCGGAGGAAGGUGGGGAUGACGUCAAAUCAUCAUGCCCCUUAUGACCUGGGCUACACACGUGCUACAAUGGUUGGUACAACGAGUUGCGAGUCGGUGACGGCGAGCUAAUCUCUUAAAGCCAAUCUCAGUUCGGAUUGUAGGCUGCAACUCGCCUACAUGAAGUCGGAAUCGCUAGUAAUCGCGGAUCAGCACGCCGCGGUGAAUACGUUCCCGGGCCUU
rnacentral:rRNA from 1 species